rnacentral:lncRNA from 1 species
UGAAGUUCCAGAAUUAGACCAUGGGUUCUCAGCCUAGCAUUGUUGACCUGAGAGACAUCUAUAACCCUCACAAGAAUGUUGGGCCAAGAUCCUUUUGCUGGCCCUAGGCCUCUUCGGCUGUGCUUGGAUUUUUACCUUAUUCAUACGCAUUUCACAACCCUACCCUUCCCAAUAGGUAGGCUAGACCUUUCUCUUACACCAGCUGGGUAUCCUACAUUAGCUACCUUCCUCAACCAUCUACCUGGUAAGGAGGGGCCAACACUCUGAAUCUAACCUGGUAACAUUGGUCUUUGCAUAUUUUGUUGGCCCAAGGGCUUGUCUUUGGUCUGGAGUCUUUUCUCCAAAAAAGGGAGGAGAAAGGAAUUUCUGUGGAGAUAUUUUAUGACUUCUAUGUGAUCUUGAUUGAUCUAGACAUUUAAAGUGAUCCCACAUCUUUUUAAAAAGUGAACAUACCCACCAGAUCUGGAGACUUUGAAUGACUUUUCAAGAUUCUUUAGCUUGUCAGGGUUAAGGUCAGAUCCAUGUCCAGGCAUACUGACUCCCAACCAUUCCACUGCACUGCCUCUCCCCCGGCACCCAGCUACUCUCUGAGCCCCCUCCCAUCUUUUCUGCCCACCAUGGGCUCGUCCAAGACUCUCUUGCUCCAUGCAGUCUCUAUCCCAGUCCUAACUGAAUCCUUCCUCCCAUGGAAUCAGCAUGUACCCUGGACUCCCACUUUCCCAGCUUCUGGCUUUUGGAAAUUUUAUGGAUGGUUUAAGUUUUCCUUUCACAGGGAACUUCUCAAGUAAAUUUAAGCUUCAGGUGAAAUUAAUGAACUUUCUUACCAUUUAAUAAAGAAAAGAUUGGCAAUUGCAUAAAAUAUAUAAAAUAAAAAUGGGUGAAACCUAAGGCAUUUGUUUUCCAGCCUUCUCCUUACAGGGUAUAGACUCAUUCUUCUGGUAGUUUCUAGAUGCAUGUAGAGCAGCCAGAAUCAUAGUUUUUGGCAUCUAGGGAUCCUUCCUAGGCCCUUUGAAAUCUUAACAUCAUAAGUGCAUUCCAACAUGAGUCAAACUGUCCCUGCAUUCUUGUGUUACCUUGUUUGAUGCAUACUGCCUCCAGUAUGAUAUUAGGACUCAAUGCUAGUUAAAUUUCUUCCCACAAGAGAUUCACCACUCUGCCUACCCCAUCACCCACUCUUUGAGCACCCCUUUGGUGUUUGCAAGAUGGAUUGUCAUCUUGAUGGACAAUUUUGUGAAAAUUCCAGCUCUCUUAGGAGACAGAUGUCACUUGGGUUAGGUCUGG